ANGUUAUGAUGCGAGUUACUCUNUGUAGUAUUGCUUGUACAUACUUUUACAUUUAUUUGCAAGAUGUUGUCGGCGUGCACUUCUCCCCUAGUAGAACGUCGCGACCCGUUGGGUGUUGGUCUACGACCCGAGUGGGAGACUUUA
rnacentral:rRNA from 1 species